rnacentral:misc_RNA from 1 species
GAUGAAGAACGCAGCGAAAUGCGAUACUUGGUGUGAAUUGCAGAAUCCCGUGAACCAUCGAGUCUUUGAACGCAAGUUGCGCCUCAAGCCAUUAGGUUGAGGGCACGUCUGCCUGGGCGUCACAUAUCGUUGCCUGAUGCCAGUUUCCUCGUGAUGGGUGACUGUGCAGGGCGAAUGAUGGCUUCCCGUGAGCAUUGUUGCCUCAUGGUUGGUUGAAAAUUGAGUCCUUGGUAGGGAGCGCCGUGAUAGAUGGUGGUUGAGUGACGAACGAGGCCCAAUCAUGUGAGACCCCUACCGAAUUUGGCCUUCAUGACCCACAUGCGUCUUUGGAACGCUCAUGACGAGACCUCAGGUCAGGCGGGGCUACCCGCUGAGUUUAAGCAUAUCAAUAAGCGGAGGA